GUUAUGGGGUUCGUACUGGAGUUAUGGGGUGGGGGAGGUGGUUAUGGGGCGCGGUUAUGGGUCACGGUUAUGGGGCGCGGUUAUGGGUCACGGUUAUGGGGCGCAGUUGUGGGUCACGGUCAUGGGGCGCAGUUAUGGGUCACGGUCAUGGCUCACAGUUAUGGGUCACAGUUAUGGGUCAGGGUCAUGGGUCACGGUUAUGGGUCACAGUUAUGGGGCGCAGUUAUGGGUCAUGGUUAUGGGUCAUGGUUAUGGGGCGCACUUAUGGGUCACGGUUAUGGGGCGCACUUAUGGGGCGCACUUAUGGGUCACGGUUAUGGGGCGCACUUAUGGGUCACGGUUAUGGGUCACGGUUAUGGGGCGCACUUAUGGGUCACGGUUAUGGGGCGCAGUUGUGGGGCUCACCCAGCAGCGGCUGCUCCCCCUGGAUGCGCUGGGCUCCGUCCGCCGCCCUCUGCAGCCAGCGCAGCGCCCACAGCCGCUGCCGUGGGGCACAAGGGGGGCGCUGGGACCCACACAUUCCCCCACGGAUCCCCCUCCUGCCCCAUAGAUCCCACCAGACCCCCCUCCUGCCCCACAGAUCCCUCUCCUGCCCCACAGAUUCCACCAGACCCCCCUCCUGCCCCACAGAUGCCCCC
rnacentral:lncRNA from 1 species